CUCCUUAAAAAGAAUCCACUCAGGGACACCUCAAUCUCAAUCAAUGUACAUGACCUUUCACCAUUAAACCCUUUUCUAUUACUUAUACCCUUUUUUUUUUCUUUUCAUCCUCACGCAUACAUUUCUCAAUCUCUCUCAAUAAGAUUUUGUCGAUUCCACCUGAAACUGAGAGCCCAAAACUCACUGGUUGGGAGAUCAAACUAUUCGCAGAAAAAGGUGAAGAAAUAGUUAUUGCAUAUCAGAAU
rnacentral:lncRNA from 1 species